AAACAUAAGCCUGGAAGAACUCAUCAGCUCCCUCAGAAGUCAUGAGAUAGAGCUAGAGGAAGACGAACCUCAAAAGAAAAAAAAUCAGUGGCUCUGAAGUCCAGAUCAGAAAGACGAAAUCCAGAAAGGAACAAGGUCUUUCAAGUUGAAGAAGAAGACGACGAUGACUCUGAAAAGGAAGAUUAUAAUGAUGAAGAAGAGUUAUCUCUUUUAUCUAGAAGAGUCAAAAAAC
rnacentral:lncRNA from 1 species